CCAAUCGUCUGCGACCGCCAACUCGUUCGCACAUGUAGGCUUUAGUCUUCUGCACCGUGUUUCUUCACCCGAGCCGUCCGUGCCAUCUCUCUACACAUGAGUUCCUCGCAUCGACUACCUUCUUAGCCGAGUCGUGAGCCCCUUCCUUGGUUCCUUAACCAUCUUUGCUUUGGAGCCAUAUUUGGAGAGGCUUUUUGGUCUAGCUAAUUUUAUUGGAGGACUUCAUCCAUCAAUUUUCUUAUUCAAGGUGUUUGGUUACAACCUUGGCCUUUGGGUACGUUGAAGACUUAAGUUUUGGUCUUUGGGUACGUUGAAGACUUAAGUUAAAUUUAGAUGAUGGUUGACAAGUUUAUUAAUCUAAGUUUCGUUAUGAUUAGGAUUCGUCUAUUUGGAGAACUUUUGGAUGUUGUUGAUAAGAUUAAUUUUUUUUUUUUGCAAAUCUUAAGGUAAGAGAUUCGACUAUUAGAUCCUCCCAUCAUGUUUUCCCUUGGUAUGCAUUAGCGUAGCUAUAAUGUAUGUGAUGUAACUAAUGUGAUUGCUAAGGAUGUAAGAUAACGAUAGCUACAUAGAAAAUCGUUGUGAUAUGAAUGAGAUGUACCCUGAUUGGGACAUGCUAUGAGUUAUGUUUA